CAAGAUUAAUAAACAUUUAAAAAGUGUACGGGGAGCUAAAAGUUGUCUUGUGACCUGCUUAUUCACAGGACUGAACCAAAAGUCACAAGAUCCCCAGUAAACAAAUAAUGCCAGAGCCAGAGACUAUAAGGGUAAAAGGAUAGAGAAGCCCACUAUGCUAUGUUUCCAACACUAGGAUUCAUAACUUACAUUUUAAGGAUAGCAAAAGAGCUCUUCAUCGUCAGCAAGCAUCCUGUAUUUUUAUUUGCUAAGUCUGGCAAUCCUACCAGUACUCCACUUUCAGAUCUUAAAGAUGG